GGUCUCGUAGUGCAAUGGAUAGCACGUCCGCCCUCAAAGCGGGAGAUCUACGUUCGAAUCGUAGCGAGACCA
rnacentral:tRNA from 1 species